CCUGGUUGAUCCUGCCAGUAGUCAUAUGCUUGUGUUAAAGAUUAAGCCAUGCAUGUCUAAGAAUCAAUUUCUUGAAAGUUAAUCUGCGAAUGGCUCAUUAUAUCAGUUAUAGUUUAUUUGAUGAAAACCAGUUACUUGGAUAACCGUAGUAACCUAGGGCUAAUACAUGCACGAUGUUUCCGACUGUGGCGGGUUCGCCCGUUGCGGAAGGGAUGCACUUGUUAGCUUUGCAAGCCAAUGCGGGUCUUCGGGCCCGGUUCACUGGCGAGUCAUAACAAUUGAGCGAAUCGCACGGCCUUUUAGCGCUGGCGAUGCUUCAUUCAAAUUUCUGCCCUAUCAACUUUCGAUGGUAGGAUCGGGGCCUACCAUGGUCGUAACGGGUAACGGGGAAUUAGGGUUUGAUUCCGGAGAGGGAGCUCGAGAAAUGGCUACCACUUCUAAGGAAGGCAGCAGGCGCGCAAAUUACCCACUCUUGACACGAGGAGGUAGUGACAACAAAUAACAAUACAGGUCCCGAAUGGGUCUUGUAAUUGGAAUGAGUUUAAUUUAAACCCCUUAAUGAGGAGCAACUGGAGGGCAAGUCUGGUGCCAGCAGCCGCGGUAAUUCCAGCUCCAGUAGCGUAUAUUAAAGCUGUUGCGGUUAAAAAGCUCGUAGUUGGAUUUCGGGGCUUUUUUUUGGGAGGCUCGGUCGGCCCAAAGGGUCUGUACUGGCCACCCGGUCCCUACCUUCUGGAUGCUCGUCGCUGCGCUUAACUGAGUGGCGAUCAAAGGUCGGUUCGGGUUUCGUUUCGGCGGGACCUGUUCUGGCUGGAGUUCCAGAUCGUUUACUUUGAAAAAAUUAGAGUGUUCAAAGCAGGCGGUUUUUUGCCUUGAAUACAUUAGCAUGGGAUAAUGCGAUAGGACUCUGUGCCUAUUUCGUUGGUUUCUGGGUGACGGAGUAAUGAUUAAUAGGGAUAGUUGGGGUGAUUAAUAUUUAAUUGUCAGAGGUGAAAUUCUUGGAUUUUUGAAAGAUUAACUUCUGCGAAAGCAUUUCACAAGGAUGUUUUCAUUAAUCAAGAACGAAAGUUGGGGGAUCGAAGACGAUCAGAUACCGUCGUAGUCUCAACCAUAAACUAUGCCGACCAGGGAUCGGGAGAUGUUUAAUGUAAGACUCCCCCGGCACCUUGUGAGAAAUCAUAAGUGUUUGGGCUUCGGGGGGAGUAUGGUCGCAAGGCUGAAACUUAAAGGAAUUGACGGAAGGGCACCACCAGGAGUGGAGCCUGCGGC
rnacentral:rRNA from 1 species